UGUUUAGGAGGUCACUCUACUCUCUACUGUUCACAUGUCACAUAAAACAAUAUUGUCAUUCAUCUCAAACAAUCAAAUUCUUCACAUGCAUAUGUCAUCACAAGGACUUUUUCCAAGGCUUGUAUUGUAGUUGGGCUAUCAAGAAAAAUUGGUUUUUCUGGAAUACAAAAUCCUUGAGUUAAGAGAGUUUAAAUCAUUGUUCAAAUUUAAAGCACACUCUCUUUUUAACCAAUCUCACUCAUUCCCAACUUUUUCCCUUUUUCAUUUUACAUUGAGUUCUUCUUUACAUGUUUUUUCUCUUUUCUUCUUUUCUUUUCUUUUCACAUGCAUUUUUCUGUUCAUAUUUUGUACUCAAUGCUUUCCUUUUUCUUUUUCCUUUCACUUCCCCCAUUCAACCCUAAACUUGAACCUUUCCAACACAUAUAAUUAUUCUCAACCCUAACUCAAGGUAAAUCAAUUCAAACAAGGGUUUUCAUACUGUUUAAGGUCAAGGUUCAAAAAGGGUAUAUCAUUUAAAAUUCUUUGGGUGAAAAUUUGGCUAAGUAAGGGCUUUCCAAGCAUGGC
rnacentral:lncRNA from 1 species